rnacentral:rRNA from 1 species
UACGAAGGGGACUAGCGUUGUUCGGAAUUACUGGGCGUAAAGCGCACGUAGGCGGACCGCUAAGUCGGAUGUGAAAGCCCUCGGCUUAACCGAGGAAGUGCAUUCGAAACUGACGGUCUUGAGUAUGGAAGAGGGUCGCGGAAUUCCCGGUGUAGAGGUGAAAUUCGUAGAUAUCGGGAGGAACACCAGUGGCGAAGGCGGCGACCUGGGCCAAUACUGACGCUGAGGUGCGAAAGCGCGGGGAGCAAACAGG